rnacentral:rRNA from 1 species
CCGAUGACUCGGGGAUAGCCUUUCGAAAGAAAGAUUAAUACCCGAUGGCAUAGUUCUUCCGCAUGGUGGAACUAUUAAAGAAUUUCGGUCAUCGAUGGGGAUGCGUUCCAUUAGGUUGUUGGUGAGGUAACGGCUCACCAAGGCAACGAUACAUAGGGGGACUGAGAGGUUAACCCCCCCACACUGGUACUGAGACACGGACCAGACUCCUACGGGAGGCAGCAUG